GAGGAAUUUUGCGCAAUGGGGGCAACCCUGACGCAGCAACGCCGCGUGAGUGAUGAAGGCCUUUUGGUUGUAAAGCUCUGUCGCCUGGAAAAGAAUGGCCAUAUCAGGAAAUGGGUGUGGUUUGACGGUACCAGGAAAGGAAGGACCGGCUAACUCCGUGCCAGCAGCCGCGGUAAUACGGGGGGUCCAAGCGUUAUUCGGAAUCAUUGGGCGUAAAGCGCAUGUAGGCGGCUGGGUGUGUCAGAUGUGAAAGCCCGGGGCUUAACCCCGGAAGUGCAUUUGAAACUGCCUGGCUUGAGUCUCGGAGAGGAAAGUGGAAUUCCCAGUGUAGAGGUGGAAUUCGUAGAUAUUGGGAGGAACACCGGUGGCGAAAGCGACUUUCUGGACGAUGACUGACGCUCAGAUGCGAAAGCGUGGGUAGCAAACAGGAUUAGAGACCCUGGUAGUCCACGCCGUAAACGAUGGGUACUAGGUGUCGGGGGUAUUGACCCCCUCGGUGCCGAAGGAAACGCAUUAAGUACUCCGCCUGGGGACU
rnacentral:rRNA from 1 species